UACGGGGGGGGCAAGCGUUGUUCGGAAUUACUGGGCGUAAAGGGUGCGUAGGCGGCGCGGUAAGUCGGGUGUGAAAUCUCGGAGCUUAACUUCGAAACUGCAUUCGAUACUGCCGUGCUUGAGGACUGGAGAGGAGACUGGAAUUUACGGUGUAGCGGUGAAAUGCGUAGAUAUCGUAAGGAAGACCAGUGGCGAAGGCGGGUCUCUGGACAGUUCCUGACGCUGAGGCACGAAGGCCAGGGGAGCAAACGGG
rnacentral:rRNA from 1 species